rfam:Homo sapiens chromosome 22, GRCh38 reference primary assembly.
GCCGGGCAUGGUGGCGCGUGCCUGUAAUCCCAGCUACUCGGGAGGCUGAGGCAUGAGAAUUGCUUGAACCCAGGAGACAGAGGUUGCAGUGAGCUGAGAUCAUGCCACUCCAGCCUGGGUGACAGAGUGAGACCUUGUCUCAA